GCCCGGGUAGCGCAGUAGGUUAGCGCGUCAGUCUCAUAAUCUGAGGGUUGCGAGUUCGAGUCUCGCUCUGGGCA
rfam:Taenia asiatica genome assembly, scaffold: TASK_contig0005276